GACGUAGGAUGCGAGCGUUGUCCGGAUUUAUUGGGCGUAAAGAGUUCGUAGGUGGUUUGUUAAGUUUGGUGUUAAAGAUCGGGGCUCAACCCUGGGACUGCACUGAAUACUGGCAGACUCGAGUGUGGUAGAGGCUAGUGGAAUUCCCAGUGUAGCGGUGAAAUGCGUAGAUAUUGGGAAGAACACCGGUGGCGUAGGCGACUAGCUGGGCCAUAACUGACGCUGAGGAACGAAAGCCAGGGGAGCGAAUGGG
rnacentral:rRNA from 2 species